AGUGGCGAACGGGUGAGUAAUGAAUCGCUAACGUGCCCCGGACUUUGGGAUAGCUACCCGAAAGGGUAGGUAAUACCGAAUGACAUAACCUUUCCGCAUGGGGAGGUUCUCAAAGGUCCGCCGGUCUGGGAGCGGGCGAUUUCGUAUCAGCUAGUUGGCGGGGUAACGGCCCACCAAGGCAUCGACGCGUAGCCGGACUGAGAGGUUGGCCGGCCACAUUGGGACUGAGACACUGCCCAG
rnacentral:rRNA from 1 species